GAUGAACGCUGGCGGCGUGCCUAACACAUGCAAGUCGAGCGGCAGCGCGAGUAGUUUACUACUUGGCGGCGAAGCGGCGGACGGCUGAGUAACGCGUAGGAAUGUGCCCCAAAGUGAGGGAUAAGCACCGGAAACGGUGUCUAAUACCGCAUAUGGUCUUCGGAUUAAAGCUUCGGCGCUUUGGGAACAGCCUGCGUCCGAUUAGGUUGUUGGUGAGGUAAUAGCUCACCAAGCCGACGAUCGGUAGCUGGUCUGAGAGGAUGAUCAGCCAGACUGGAACUGAGACACGGUCCAGACUCCUACGGGAGGCAGCAGUGGGGAAUAUUGGACAAUGGGGGAAACCCUGAUCCAGCGACGCCGCGUGUGUGAAGAAGGCCUGCGGUUGUAAAGCACUUUUAGUGGGGAUGAAAAGCUCAGGGCCAAUACCCCUGGGUCUUGACCUAACCCAAGAAAAGCACCGGCUAACUCUGUGCCGACAGCCGCGGUAAGGCACGAC
rnacentral:rRNA from 1 species